rnacentral:rRNA from 1 species
GACGUAGGGGGCAAGCGUUGUCCGGAAUUAUUGGGCGUAAAGAGCUUGUAGGUGGUUUGUCGCGUCUGCUGUGAAAAUCCGAGGCUCAACCUCGGACUUGCAGUGGGUACGGGCAGACUAGAGUGUGGUAGGGGAGACUGGAAUUCCUGGUGUAGCGGUGAAAUGCGCAGAUAUCAGGAGGAACACCGAUGGCGAAGGCAGGUCUCUGGGCCAUUACUGACAGCUGAGAAGCGAAAGCAUGGGGAGCGAAC